rnacentral:rRNA from 1 species
UACGAAGGGUGCAAGCGUUAAUCGGAAUUACUGGGCGUAAAGCGCGCGUAGGUGGUUCAGUAAGUUGGAAGUGAAAUCCCCGGGCUCAACCUGGGAACUGCUUUCAAAACUGCUGAGCUAGAGUACGGUAGAGGGUGGUGGAAUUUCCUGUGUAGCGGUGAAAUGCGUAGAUAUAGGAAGGAACACCAGUGGCGAAGGCGACCACCUGGACUGAUACUGACACUGAGGUGCGGAAGCGUGGGGAGCAAACAGG